CCUACGGGCGGCAGCAGUGGGGAAUAUUGGGCAAUGGGCGCAAGCCUGACCCAGCAACGCCGCGUGAAGGAAGAAGGCUUUCGGGUUGUAAACUUCUUUUCUCAGGGACGAAGCAAGUGACGGUACCUGAGGAAUAAGCCACGGCUAACUACGUGCCAGCAGCCGCGGUAAUACGUAGGUGGCAAGCGUUAUCCGGAUUUAUUGGGUGUAAAGGGCGUGUAGGCGGGGACGCAAGUCAGAUGUGAAAACCCAGGGCUCAACCUGGGGCCUGCAUUUGAAACUGUUUUUCUUGAGUGCUGGAGAGGCAGUCGGAAUUCCGUGUGUAGCGGUGAAAUGCGUAGAUAUACGGAGGAACACCAGUGGCGAAGGCGGAUUGCUGGACAGCAACUGACGCUGAGGCGCGAAAGCGUGGGGAGCAAACAGGAUUAGAUACCCGUGUAGUC
rnacentral:rRNA from 1 species